rnacentral:rRNA from 1 species
GAUGAACGCUGGCGGCGUGCCUAAUACAUGCAAGUCGAGCGAACGGACGAGAAGCUUGCUUCUCUGAUGUUAGCGGCGGACGGGUAAGUAACACGUGGAUAACCUACCUAUAAGACUGGGAUAACUUCGGGAAACCGGAGCUAAUACCGGAUAAUAUUUUGAACCGCAUGGUUCAAAAGUGAAAGACGGUCUUGCUGUCACUUAUAGAUGGAUCCGCGCUGCAUUAGCUAGUUGGUAAGGUAACGGCUUACCAAGGCAACGAUGCAUAGCCGACCUGAGAGGGUGAUCGGCCACACUGGAACUGAGACACGGUCCGGACUCCUACGGGAGGCAGCAGUAGGGAAUCUUCCGCAAUGGGCGAAAGCCUGACGGAGCAACGCCGCGUGAGUGAUGAAGGUCUUCGGAUCGUAAAACUCUGUUAUUAGGGAAGAACAUAUGUGUAAGUAACUGUGCACAUCUUGACGGUACCUAAUCAGAAAGCCACGGCUAACUACGUG